rnacentral:misc_RNA from 1 species
GUAUUAAGUUUUAAAAGGCACAAAAGGCCAAAUAAAUUAACAUUCUAUCACUUGUUUUGGAGUAUAAUGUAUAAAACAUAGACCUGAAUUGCAAGAACAGCCGAUAUUACGCAGCAGUUCUCAAACCGAGUUUCCCUCGGAAAAAGUUUCAUUCAGGCCUACAGUAUGUGCACAGGUGGUUAAAAAAUGGAGUGAGCGUGCACAUGCUCCCUAGAGAACCAGCAACAACCCAUCAGGUUUAUUUCAAUAAUGAUCCUUCCGCAGGUUCACCUACGGAAA